rnacentral:rRNA from 1 species
AUUGAACGCUGGCGGCAUGCCUUACACAUGCAAGUCGAACGGCAGCACGGGAGCAAUCCUGGUGGCGAGUGGCGAACGGGUGAGUAAUAUAUCGGAACGUGCCAGUAGUGGGGGAUAACUGCUCGAAAGAGCAGCUAAUACCGCAUACGACCUGAGGGUGAAAGGGGGGGAUCGCAAGACCUCUCGCUAUUGGAGCGGCCGAUAUCAGAUUAGCUAGUUGGUGGGGUAAAGGCCUACCAAGGCAACGAUCUGUAGUUGGUCUGAGAGGACGACCAGCCACAAUGGGACUGAAACACGGCCCAGACUCCUACGGGAGGCAGCAGGGGGGAAUUUUGGACAAUGGGCGCAAGCCUGAUCCAGCAAUGCCGCGUGCAGGAAGAAGGUCUUCGGGUUGUAAACUGCUUUUGUCAGGGAAGAAAUCCUCUAGGUUAAUACCCUUGGGGGGAUGACGGUACCUGAAGAAUAAGCACCGGCUAACUACGUGCCAGCCGCCGCAGUAAUAC